AUUUCUCAGAAACCUCCCGCUGGCUGGCUUUGUGGUGCUGGGAGGUGCAGGAGACGCAUUAGGACCAAUGGUGUCAGCCAGGGUUGGACCCUGCAAGCUAGUUACACCCACCACCUGCCAGUUUUCAUAUGGUCUGCUCAGCACUCCAUUUCCAUGGCCAUGGCUCUGCCUGCAUCUCUGGAGACCUGUUCCUGCCAGGGCCAACCAGAGCUGUGCUUCCACACCUGAGGGUCCCUGCCCCUAGGCAGCUGCGAUUGGUAAUAAAGAAUUACCGUACAGCCAAUGACUGGCCAAGGAGACUGUGGCAGGACUUUUAGACUGUACAGGCAAGAGACUGAGGGAGACAGGACAGAGAGAGAGAAUCUCCAUGAUGGGAAAGCAGAAGGAUGAAACUUAAAGGCCCAAAGAAUCCUAAGCUUGGCUGUCCUGGAAGUUGCUGUAUAGAUUGACUUUGAACCCAGAGAUCUGCAUGGCUCUGUCUCCUGGGAUUAAAGGUAUGAACCAGCACAACUGGAUUUAAGCUUUUC
rnacentral:lncRNA from 1 species